rnacentral:piRNA from 1 species
CUAGAUGUUUAUAUGCCUGCUCC